GCCCCCGUAGCUCAGGGGAUAGAGCACCGGCCUCCGGAGCCGGGUGCGCGCGUUCGAAUCGCGCCGGGGGUA
rnacentral:tRNA from 1 species